GGUACACACUACAGCAUUCAAUUCCAACCUAGAACUGAUCACAUUUGCCAUGGUUUCUUGUCAAUCAUCUUUAUGAGAUAGACCUGUCUUUCAACAUAACAUUUUUAAGGUGGAAUAAAAAUUACAAUUGUGCCAGGACUAAACUGGAUUGCUAUACCAAUUGUUAAAUCUUUAAUACAUAGAUUUAAAAGAAAAUUGUGUCAAUCUUACACGUAAUUGUUUUUAAUUAAAUGUCAUUUUUAGAGAAAUUACAGUUCUGCAAUAAAAAUGCUACUAUGACAAAGGAUCACCCCUAAUGUUUAGCAGAUACUUUGGUGCCUGAAAGAAACCAUCCACAGAUAGUAUUUGUGUUAGUCUAUGAGAAGGUAAAGCAGUUUAGUGCUGCAGGUCAUAAAAUUAUGCAUUUUUCCUCAAGAAUCAGGUUGUACAUUUUUUGGGGUCUUUUAUGUAGAUCGGUUUGAGCUCAGAACCAAUAGCCCAGCUAUAUACAAAAGAGAGACCCUCAGGUAAAAAUUAUCUUUCGGUGGAACGUCUACGCUACAUUUUGGAAAGAUGGAAUCAAAGGGUACAGGAAAUGUACUUAUAAAAUGUAGAGAUAAAUGUAAGGGUUCCAGUCAUAAAAAGGAUAUAUAGUUAGAGUUUUGGAGCAGUCUAUUAGGUUUAAGAUGUGAACAGAACUACUGAUCCAUAAUACUGAUACACACACACACACUAGAGCUUAAAAAACACAUUAACUGCAGUCGUUACUGCGACUAUGUCUCAAAGGAAGAGAAUCCAUACAUUUUUCAGUAGAGUACCAGGUGGGGAGGUAUUUACUGUACUUUGAGCAUUAGAUGAAUGUGAAAAGAUGUGGCAUUGUUAAAUAAUCUUCCUCCUUAGUCUUGCCCUUGGCUAGGACUGGUUCGAACAUAGUUUACAAUAAUAAUGAUGCAGUCUCUGGACAGGGUAGAGUCAU